rnacentral:tRNA from 20 species
CGUAGCUCAGCUGGAUAGAGUACUCGGCUACGAACCGAGCGGUCGGAGGUUCGAAUCCUCCCG